rnacentral:rRNA from 1 species
CAGUCGCCGCGGUAAUACGAAGGGGGCUAGCGUUGCUCGGAAUUACUGGGCGUAAAGCGUGCGCAGGCGGUUAUAUAAGUCAGAUGUGAAAUCCCCGGGCUCAACCUGGGAACUGCAUUUGAGACUGUAUGGCUAGAGUGUGUCAGAGGGGGGUAGAAUUCCACGUGUAGCAGUGAAAUGCAUAGAUAUGUGGAGGAAUACCGAUGGCGAAGGCAGCCCCCUGGGAUAACACUGACGCUCAUGCACGAAAGCGUGGGGAGCAAACAGGAUUAGAUACCCGCGUAGUCCCUGUCUCUUAUAC